CCUACGGGUGGCAGCAGUGGGGAAUAUUGCACAAUGGGGGAAACCCUGAUGCAGCGACGCCGCGUGAGUGAAGAAGUAUUUCGGUACGUAAAGCUCUAUCAGCAGGGAAGAAAAUGACGGUACCUGACUAAGAAGCCCCGGCUAACUACGUGCCAGCAGCCGCGGUAAUACGUAGGGGGCAAGCGCUAGCCGGAUUUACUGGGUGUAAAGGGAGCGUAGACGGGAGAGCAAGUCUGGAGUGAAAUCCCAUGGCUUAACCAUGGAACUGCUUUGGAAACUGUGCAGCUAGAGUGCAGGAGAGGUAAGCGGAAUUCCUAGUGUAGCGGUGAAAUGCGUAGAUAUUAGGAGGAACACCAGUGGCGAAGGCGGCUUACUGGACUGUAACUGACGUUGAGGCUCGAAAGCGUGGGGAGCAAACAGGAUUAGAUACCCUAGUAGUC
rnacentral:rRNA from 1 species